rnacentral:rRNA from 1 species
AUGCGGACCGACGAGGCACAACAAGCGCGUCUCAGCACGGAUGUGUGGCUCCCGUACCAAAAGGUACUACAUAGUGAGAACGACGAGUUGGGGCUCGCGUUUCUCCCUAAGGAGAUUGACGACGCUCUCCUAAGCAUGAGAGCAGACAUGGCUCCGGGGCCGGACGGGUGGCCGGUGGCGAUGUUUAAGCACUUUUGGCCAUUGCUGCGCGAUCCCAUUUACGAGGUGUGUAAUGGCUUCAUGCGUGGCUUCGUGGAUAUUGCUAGGUUUAACUACGGCGUACUAUCGCUAAUCCCAAAAGUGCCAGGGGCGGACAACAUAUGCCAGUACAAACCUAUCGCGCUUAUUAACGUUCCGUUUAAAAUCUGCGCCAAAAGUUGUGCCACUCGGCUCUCGCCGAUCGCCCAUCGCACCAUUAGUCGUGCCCAGUCGGCGUUCAUUCGGGGUAGAAACAUUCUGGAGGGACCACUAGCACUGCAAGAGACCCUUCAUGAGCUUAAGCGCACACACGAACCUGCGAUCCUCCUUAAACUAGACUUUGAGAAGGCCUAUGACCGAGUUAAUUGGGACUUCCUCAGGCAGAUCCUCACCAGUCGAGGAUUCUCGCCGUUAUGGGUGCACCGAGUCAUACAACUGGUCUCGGGGGGCCAAACUGCGGUCUCGGUGAAUGGAGAAGUAGGGCACUUCUUCAGGAACAAGCGUGGCUUACGCCAA